rnacentral:rRNA from 1 species
UACAGAGGGUGCAAACGUUGUUCGGAAUUACUGGGCGUAAAGUGUGUGUAGGCGGCCUCGUAGGUCGGAGGUGAAAGCUCUCGGCUCAACCGGGAAAGUGCAUUCGAAACCACGAGGCUUGAGUGUCGGAGAGGAAGGCGGAAUUGCCGGUGUAGAGGUGAAAUGCGUAGAUAUCGACAGGAACACCUGCGGCGAAAGCGGCCUUCUGGACGAGCACUGACGCUGAGACACGAAAGCGUGGGGAGCAAACAGG